rnacentral:rRNA from 1 species
CACGUAGGCACCAAGCGUUGUCCGGAUUUAUUGGGCGUAAAGAGCUCGUAGGCGGUUCAGUAAGUCGGGUGUGAAAACUUUGGGCUUAACCCAAAGCGUGCAUCCGAUACUGCUGUGACUUGAGUUCGGUAGGGGAGUGGGGAAUUCCUAGUGUAGCGGUGAAAUGCGUAGAUAUCUGGAGGAACACCGGUGGCGAAGGCGGCAUCCUGGACCGGCAUUGACGCUGAGGCGCGAAAGCCAGGGGAGCAAAGCGGG